rnacentral:rRNA from 1 species
UUCCGGUUGAUCCCGCCGGACCCCACUGCUAUCGGGAUAGGACUAAGACAUGCUAGUCGAGCGCGUCAGCCAAAACGACGCGCGGCAUACAGCUCAGUAACACGUGGCUAAUCUGCCCUUGGGACGAGAACAAACCCGGGAAACUGGGGCUAAUUCUCGAUAGAUGAAGAACUCUGGAAUGAGUCUUUAUCAAAAAAGAUUUACGUUAUGCUCGUGAAUCCGCCCAAGGAUGAGGCCGCGACCGAUCAGGUUGUUGGUGAGGUAACGGCUCACCAAGCCUUUUACCGGUGCGGGCCGUGGGAGCGGGAGCCCGGAGAUGGGUACUGAGACAAGGACCCAGGCCCUACGGGGCGCAGCAGUCGCGAAACCUUUGCAAUACACGCAAGUGUGACAGGGCUAUCCCGAGUGCCAUCCGCUGAGGAAGGCUUUUACCCAGUAUAGAAAGCUGGGGGAAUAAGGAGAGGGCAAGUCUGGUGUCAGCCGCCGCGGUAAUACCAGCUCUCCGAGUGGUGUGGAUGUUUAUUGGGCCUAAAGCAUCCGUAGCUGGCUAAGUUAGUCCUUUGUUAAAUCCACCGAAUUAAUCGUUGGGUUGCGAGGGAUACUGCUUGGCUAGGGGACGAGAGAGGCAGACGGUAUUUUCGGGGUAGGGGUGAAAUCCUAUAAUCCCGGGAAGACCACCAGUGGCGAAGGCUGUCUGCUAGAACGCGCCCGACGGUGAGGGAUGAAAGCUGGGGUAGCGAACCGGAUUAGAUACCCGGGUAGUCCCAGCUGUAAACGAUGCAGGCUAGGUGUUUGGACGGCCACGUGCCGUUCUAGUGCCGCAGGGAAGCUGUUAAGCCUGCCGCCUGGGGAGUACGAUCGCAAGAUUGAAACUUAAAGGAAUUGGCGGGGGAGCACCACAAGGGGUGAAGCUUGCGGUUUAAUUGGAGUCAACGCCGGA